rnacentral:rRNA from 1 species
UGAGUAACCUGCCCUUAACUCUGGGAUAAGCCUGGGAAACUGGGUCUAAUACCGGAUAUGACUCCUCAUCGCAUGGUGGGGGGUGGAAAGCUUUUGCGGUUUUGGAUGGACUCGCGGCCUAUCAGCUUGUUGGUGAGGUAAUGGCUCACCAAGGCGACGACGGGUAGCCGGCCUGAGAGGGUGACCCGGCCACACUGGGACUGAGACACGGCCCAGACCUCCGUACGGGAGGCAG